AAUAAACGACCAAUUCUUAUGGUCCUUCGAAUGCGAUAUUGUUUUGGCAGUGUCUUAACAGUAUGAAUUGUUGAGGAGAAGUUUCUUGCUGCUGACAUUGAUUUUUUAUAUUAUAUUUGUAAUCUUUACAGGCCUAAACAGUUCAAAUGUAUUUAAAGCAAUUGAAUCGAUUAACUUUCUUGACUCAAGUACCCAAUCUUCUGCUGAAUUUCUGGCCACAUAGGUAUUACCAGACAUAAACUAUUUUGGUAGAAUUUUCAAUAAAUAUUAAGCAUAAUAUGCGACUUAAUUAUGAUCUUGAUUAUAACCGAAUAUGCAAGGAGGAAAUGCCUAGAGAGCAAAAACGUGUUGAAGAUACAUUAAAUCUCAGUUUUGAAGAUGCAAAGUCGCCUAAACAAAUGCGUCAAUAAAUUCAAUAAAUACAAACAUCUCAACGUCCUUCUGAAUACCAAAAAUCCAAACGAAAAUAGCAACAAAAGAAGUCUUCAAAUUAUUAAUUCCUGUUUACAAAGUUACUUUUCUCUUCUCCGGUGUGCUAUCAGAUUGCUCCAAUUACGAAAGAUUUUGCAGCAAAUCCCAGCCACUACAAUUUCAUUCGCCUCUGUGCCCGAUGCCGGCCUGCAAUGAUGCGCUUAAAAUUCAUCGUACAUGAUGCAGAAGCGCUGAAGGUCGUAGGAUCAUUUCCGUUUGCCACUUCGCCACCCUCUUCGAUGUGUGAUUAAAUCGUGUCCACCGCCAGGAAUGGGCCCAUAUGCUUCCAUAGCUUUCCCUGCUUCCGUGUGUGCUUCCCGACCCGAAUGCAAAACCCAUCGGUCCGAUCGGCACCCACCUAUAUGGCCCAAACGAGUGCGAGUGCAUCACGGAGCAGCGGGAAAAGCGGCACACACACACGGCAGUAACCGUCUUGUUUCUUAUCUCAUCGGGUCGUUCAUCUUUUGCCGCACCGUGUGGGCCAGCGCGCACAAACCCGGCCACAACCCGGCAGCCAGCCAGCGAGCCAGUUUACAUGUGUAAAUCAGAAUCAAACAAAGUGAACUUUGAUUCAUCGUCCCCUCCUAUCGUCCCUUUACCAGCUGUGAAGGUGGACGCUGCGGAAGGACGCUGCUCUCCUGUACUGCUGCCGACGAAACCGUUCGCAACCGAUUCCAUACACGGUGGGAGGUGUAGAGGGUGAGGGAAGGAAAGCUGCGAAUCGACAAAAGGGCAAACCGACGCAACUCCCCAUCCGUGCGCUGCGCCUCGGCAGGCAAAGGUUGAAGAUGGACGCGCUUCCUCCACGAUGCGUUUGCAGAACUGCUUCGCCAUUGGGUCGUCGAUUGGUCAAAUGAAGGUUGGCGGGAAAAGACAUGCAAGGCAGUACCGGCCCCGACACGAUCAUAAUUCAUCGCCGCCGAUAAUAAAGUCGUUACGCGCCGUUCGGACACGUUGCGUUUUUCGUCAAAUUACUCUCGUUUAAUUAUCGGCACCUUCAACUUCAUCUAAACGCGGAAGAUGGGUUGGACCACCCAGCAGCAGGAGCGGCAGCGUGUGGUGUGUAUCCUUGGACCGUCCCGUCCCGAAAAAGUCUCAACGUCACCAUCACCCGCCGGUUCCCGCGCAGAAGGGAAUGAAAAACGAUGCGUAAAAUACGUCAUUGCAAAAUUUACGAGCAUCGCGAAGACGCGGACACUAAACGGCACCGGGGACGAGACAAGUGGCUUGCGCGACAUUUUUUUGUUGUUGUUUUGUUUGCACUGCACGUGUGUAUGCGUGCUGACGUGUCGCAAACAUCGUCCGAUCGUGCGUUUAAUGUGUUGUAAAUUGGAGUAAAAUAAAAUAAAAAUAUACAAACAAACAAA